rnacentral:rRNA from 1 species
CAGUCGCCGCGGGAAUACGGAGGGUGCAAGCGUUAAUCGGAAUUACUGGGCGUAAAGCGUGCGCAGGCGGUUAUAUAAGACAGAUGUGAAAUCCCCGGGCUCAACCUGGGACCUGCAUUUGUGACUGUAUAGCCAGAGUACGGUAGAGGGGGUUGGAAUUCCGCGUGUAGCAGUGAAAUGCGUAGAUAUGCGGAGGAACACCGAUGGCGAAGGCAAUCCCCUGGACCUGUACUGACGCUCAUGCACGAAAGCGUGGGGAGCAAACAGUAUUAGAUACCCCAGUAGUCCCUGUCUCUUAUAC